rnacentral:rRNA from 1 species
AUUGAACGCUGGCGGCAGGCUUAACACAUGCAAGUCGAGCGGAGCGAGGGUGCUUGCACCUUAGCUUAGCGGCGGACGGGUGAGUAAUGCUUAGGAAUCUGCCUAUUAGUGGGGGACAACAUUCCGAAAGGAAUGCUAAUACCGCAUACGCCCUACGGGGGAAAGCAGGGGAUCUUCGGACCUUGCGCUAAUAGAUGAGCCUAAGUCGGAUUAGCUAGUUGGUGGGGUAAAGGCCUACCAAGGCGACGAUCUGUAGCGGGUCUGAGAGGAUGAGCAGCCACACUGGGACUGAGACACGGCCCAGACUCCUACGGGAGGCAGCAGUGGGGAAUAUUGGACAAUGGGCGGAAGCCUGAUCUAGCCAUGCCGCGUGUGUGAAGAAGGCCUUUUGGUUGUAAAGCACUUUAAGCGAGGAGGAGGCUCUUAAGGUUAAUACCCUUGAUGAGUGGACGUUACUCGCAGAAUAAGCACCGGCUAACUCUGUGCCAGCAGCCGCGGUAAAAC